rnacentral:miRNA from 1 species
GACGUCGAAUAUCGACGCCAUAAACACCAAAGUUGACCGUGUUUAUGACGUCGACUAUCGACGUCAUAAACACCAAAGUUGAUCGUGUUUAUGACGUCGAAUAUCGACGUCAUAAACACCAAAAUUGAUCGUGUUUAUGACUUCGAAUAUCGACGUCAUAAACACCAAAGUUGAUCGUGUUUAUGACGUCGAUAUUCGACGUCAUAAACACCAAAGUUGAUCGUGUUUAUGACGUCGAAUAUCGACGUC